UCUAGAGCGCUGUUAUUUUACGUAAAAUGGAAAAAGAAAAAUAAGAAAGCCCUCACCUCAGGGGAAGGGACCGAGGUCCCAAGAUGGCGGCGUCGGAAGAGCAAAUGGCUGAGGAGGGAGGCGGCAGCCACGGUGAUGGCGGAUCUUGUUCGGCCGCUGGCUCUGCCCAGUGACAGCCCCCGCUGUCCCCUGCCCAGCCGCCGCAUCCGGAGUCCCAGGCGCCCCCAUCGAAGCCAUCGAGAACAUCCUCAGCUUUUUGUGCGACGAAGAAAUGAGCCGGCUGCGCCUGCGCGUUUAUCUUUGUCCGUGGUCGGGACACGGAAGGAGGUGGACGUUUUGAAGUGAGUGCAAGCCGCUUCCGUGUAGAAGGUUCGCAAAAGAAUGCACUUGGUUUGCCAGAGAAUGUUCAGUCAGGGGUUUCUGAAAGUUUUCUGUAUCAGAAGUAAGUGAAAGCGCAGCUCCCAAGGAGAGAGGCAGAGAGUUGAAACCAUUCUUUAGCUCAUCGUGCAGACAUCUUUCUGCUGUGGAAACAAGGCUGUCCCUGGUAAACAUGACUUGUAGGAAGUAAGCGGAUUCCAGUCUUUGUUGCUUGAUGAGUUUUGCCGGGUGUUGAGGUUCUACCAGAGCCCCACUGCGAGCUCAUGAAGUCCUCCGGGAGUUCAGGGAUAUCUCCUCCUUGGCCACGGAGUACUUUGAUGAGAAGAUCGUUCUGCAGAGGAAACUGCCAGCAUCGGACAUGCAUGGAAGGCUCAUGGGCCAGGCCCGUCCGCAGCUCUUCCUCCCCUAAGCAAAACGCUUCACGACAAGAGGUUACUAAACCCCAGCAGCAGGUUAAGACCAACGGCGCUGGCGUGACUGUUCUCAGCAGGGAGACUUCUGAGGAACAGCAGAAACAGCUUCAAGACCAAGACCAGAAACUGCUCGAUCAGGCCCCAGUUGUAGGUGAACAGAACAUGAGGAACAUAUGAAAAGAAAGAAACCCACACCAUCCCAUAAAAUCCCCAGUGCAAGGAAAAAAGAAAAAAAUGACAAAAAUUUCAGCAAGAAUUAUUUUGUGUAGCACCAACUGGCAAUCUGAAUCAAAUGGCAGUGAAAGAGAACAGUAUAACCAAGGUAAAUAAA
rnacentral:lncRNA from 1 species